rnacentral:misc_RNA from 2 species
AGUCAGACAAGCUAUCGCCUCCUUUCGUGGCAGCAGGUUUCCGCGCAGAAGGCGUCCGCUUCUCUCGAACAUUUCUUGCUCUGGAAUGACGACGAGACGGGCGCUGGAAUGUGGUUGGGGACCGUGGAGGCGCUUUGGGUUUUCGCGGAUCUCUUGUGAUUCUCGUGACUUCAAGUGCAUGCUGCGCCGUCCGUCAUCUCGUGACGUCUCGGUGCCCGGAACAGCUCUGACUGUUUGGUUUUCCGGGCACUUUGCGACGUAGGCGAGAGAAGUUCCAUUUUUCUCUUUACCGACGCCGCCGGCCGUCGUGCUGGACUCGGAUUGAUCGGCUAUCAUCGAGCCGCCGGCAAGCUGGAAGCUGCGGGACAGUGGGAGAAAUGAAGCUCAUGGCGGCGCCCAGUUACAACAAAGCAAGUGCGCGUUCGCUCGCAUAGCGCUGCUUGCUUUUGUUUCACAUA